rnacentral:rRNA from 1 species
AGCGAACGCUGGCGGCAGGCUUAACACAUGCAAGUCGAACGCCCCGCAAGGGGAGUGGCAGACGGGUGAGUAACACGUGGGAACGUACCCUUUGGUUCGGAAUAACUUGGGGAAACUCAAGCUAAUACCGGAUAAGCCCUUAUGGGGAAAGGUUUACUGCCGAAGGAUCGGCCCGCGUCUGAUUAGCUAGUUGGUGAGGUAAUGGCUCACCAAGGCGACGAUCAGUAGCUGGUCUGAGAGGAUGAUCAGCCACACUGGGACUGAGACACGGCCGAGACUCCCACGGGGGGCAGCAGUGGGGAAUAUGGGAAAAGGGGGGCAACCCUGAUCCAGCCAUGCCGCGUGAGGAAUGAAGCCUUUAGGGUUGUAAAGCUCUUUUACCCGGGACGAUAAGGACGGUCCCGGGAGAAUAAGCCCCGGCUAACUUCGUGCCAGCCGCCGCGGUAA